rnacentral:rRNA from 1 species
GAUGAACGCUGGCGGCGUGCCUAACACAUGCAAGUCGAGCGAUCUUCUUCGGAAGAGAGCGGCGGACGGGUGAGUAACGCGUGGGUAACCUGCCUCAUACACAUGGAUAACAUACCGAAAGGUAUGCUAAUACAAGAUGAUAUAAGAGAUUCGCAUGGAUUUCUUAUCAAAGCUUUUGCGGUAUGAGAUGGACCCGCGUCUGAUUAGCUAGUUGGUAAGGUAAUGGCUUACCAAGGCGACGAUCAGUAGCCGACCUGAGAGGGUGAUCGGCCACAUUGGAACUGAGACACGGUCCAAACUCCUACGGGAGGCAGCAGUGGGGAAUAUUGCACAAUGGGCGAAAGCCUGAUGCAGCAACGCCGCGUGAGCGAUGAAGGCCUUCGGGUCGUAAAGCUCUGUCCUCAAGGAAGAUAAUGACGGUACUUGAGGAGGAAGCCCCGGCUAACUACGUGCCAGCCGCCGCCGUAA